AUCAUGAUGGACGUGGCUAUGAGAAGUGUGCAAAGUCCAGACAGAAGAGAUUACAUGAAAUAAUCAUUGGUCACAGGAUCAAAAUGUCGAUAUGGAGAGAGGGUCUGCGACUUCAGGAUGGGAAAAUGCUUAACAAGAAAGAAACGGAUGAAGACAGAAUGAGACCCUAUGUGGUAUGUUAAAUAGUUAAUCUGUCAAUUUCUCUUCUGAUUUGUAAUGUUAAAAAGGGGAGAAAAAGACACCCCUGUUUAUCUGAAUUAGAUAGGCUACUCACUAUUCCAAUAUUAGGCUACAGAUUUGAGUCACUGCAAUUAAAAUUGUUUCCCCAAUGUAUCCUUCUAUUAAAUUCUUUUUUUUUUCUUACUAUGUAUUGCAGGUUUAAGGAGAUUACUGUAUAUACUGUUAGAAAUGUUUGUAACAACAUGAAUAAAUGUCCAGAAAUUUUCAACUUUCUUUUAAGCAAUUUAAUGUUUUUAAGUUAUAAAUACUGGUAGGCCUAACUCAUGAAUAAAUGGUCAGUAUGUUUCCA